GCCCUUCUCUUUUUUUCUUUCCUUUUUUAUUUCUCUUUUCUUUCUAUACUCUCUCUCAACCAUAUCGUAUUCUCUCUCUCCUCAUCUUCUCCCCAACAGCUCGCCUCCGCCUGGUUCCUGCAGGCCGCAGAACGCAAGGAAGAGCUGACGCUGUGCGCGAUGCUCGUGAGCCCGCAGUCCGGUGACCUCGCGCCUAGCGGCAUCGUAGUUUGGUGACCUCGCGCCUAGCAGCUCUGUAGUCUGGUGACCUCGCACCCGACGGUCACGUACUUCGGCGAGCCAAGCCCGGGCACAGCGUCGGUGACUGCACACUCGCCCGUCCUCCCCUUAUGCGCCUCCUUGACAUCGGGGGCAGACUCGACCUCUACACACUGGAUCCGCUUGUGUCUAAUCGAAGCUGGGUGAAGCUCCAUUUUCCAGCUUCACUUGCCACACUGUGCCUGUGUGAGCGCAAAACGCAGAGCUCCACUAGUGAAUCAGUUGAUUAAACAGGCGUUUGGGUGCAGGAGCUGAAAAACGACUCCCGGAGCCACGAUAGAACCAAACGACCCCUUGUUGGCCCUUGUGUGCGGCAUCUCCUCGGUGAGUCCUCGGUGCCGAUCACUGCUGACUUUGUCAUAUUGACAUGCUCCGUGCGUAGAGUUUAGCAUGCAGCCCACGAGCCGAAGACAUGGCCCAAAGCAUGAUGAUUUGACCUGGCCCGAGCAUAACAUGGCCC
rnacentral:lncRNA from 1 species